GCAGCUACAACAGGUAAUAAUGCUACUGCCCUUGCUUCUUCUUCCUCAAAGUGGAUCAUAGAUUCCGGGGCUACUGAUCAUAUGACAGGAUCUUUUGACGAGGCGGAUUAUUGGUAGAGGUUAUGAAUCUGGCGGGCACUAUAUACUGGAUGAUCGGGUGUCUCAUGCGGUAGCUUGCGCUAGCAGUCAUUCUCCUUUUGAAGUUCAUUGUCGAUUGGGUCAUUUGUCUCUAUCUUCUCUUAAGAAAGUUUAUCCUCAAUUUUAGCAUUUGUCGUCUUUAGAUUGUGAGUCAUGUCAGUUUGCCAAGCAUCAUCGUCUUCCUUUAGUGUCUCGUGUCAAUAAACGGGUUUCAUCCCCUUUUGAGUUAGUCCAUUCUGAUGUUUGGGGUCCUUGUCCUGUAGAGUCCAAAGCAGGGUUUAAAUACUUUGUUACAUUUGUUGAUGAUUAUUCCCGGACAACUUGGUUAUAUUUAAUGAAACAUCGUUCUGAAUUGUUUUCCCA